CUUCAUGACUGAUAGCUUGUGAAGCCUCCACAUCUCCUUGUAAAGUGAUUUGUCCUGUUUGCGUUAGAAAAGAAAGCUCUUGUUUUUCCCAAUCCACUUCACAUUUUCCCAAGGUUCUCAACCAUUGGAUUCCCAACACAAUAUCAGCGCUCCCUGGUUCCAAUACGAUAAAAUCUGAAGUAAUAGUCACCUCCUGAAGUUGCAACGU
rnacentral:lncRNA from 1 species